AUUGUUUUCUGCUGGUUGCUUUCUGAAAUUCUACUGGACCUAAUGCCAAAAGAUGAUCAAGAGGAGCAUGAAAAAAUCCCCUGAAUCCAUUGGCUUUCUUCCCUAUACUGACAACAGUUUACUUGUGUAAGAGAUGCAUGCCUCGACUCCGGACCCCUUCUUUCAUCUGCAAAAUCAGCAGCACCCUCACAUCAUCUCCUGUAACAAACUCUCUCUGUCUCCUCCAUAUAAGGUCACUGAUGGUUACAUUUAGGGUCCAUGAUAUAAGGUAAGAUAAUUGCCCCUCCUCAAGAUCCUUAAUUA
rnacentral:lncRNA from 10 species